rnacentral:antisense_RNA from 1 species
GAUAACCAAAAAUAACUGAGGGACUGAGAGUUGGAUCCGUGACUAGACGAACCUCUUGUAAGUCAGGAUCGUAGAGUCCUCCCCAAAACAUGGCCCAACCCACAAAUAAGAGCGCAUAUAGGCCCAGAAUGAGAAGAUGAUGCCCUAAUAUCCGCCCCAAUUGAGCUGUAUCAUCCCA